GUUGAAGAAGAUGCCUCCGCUCGAUCCUGUUUCUGGAUACUCUUUUCUCCAUGGACGCCCAGUGUCUGACGACACAAAUACAGAGACAGUCACUGCCGAUGUUCUAUGCAGACCGAGCUAUGACUUGCGGGGACAUGUCAUCUACAAAAAAAGUGCAGGUCAGAGUUCCAAAUGGCUGGAUUUCCCAAAGAGCCACAUCCUGGGAGUAUCAAUGAGAACACCAUAGGGCUGUUUAUUUGGCGCAUGCUAGGUUAGAGGGUCCCUGCCGCUGAGAGGAUGGCGACAGGAAGAGGAUGCCAUAGUGGUAAAUUCAUGACAUUUGAUCCAAUAACUGGCACGUGAAGAGAGCAGGGAGCACAGAUGUAAAGAGAACGGGAAAAGAACAGUGGCAAAUAACAGGCACAAGAAGGAGUCACCCACCCUCUUGCAGUUUAUAAACUCUGUGCCCCCAUUUCAUCUCACCGUCAUAAUGAUCUGUCGAUGUUUAAUCAUUUCUCAUUAAAGCAAGAUCAACUGCGAUGUUUCCCUUCUGCCCUCUUAGCUCUCUGAACUUUUUUAUAUCCACAUUCUUUGUCUCACCCAACUCUCACUCACUGCUCACCCUGUGCUCCAGCUCAGCCCUCCUAAUCCCAAAGGUUAUUCUGAUACAGAGACAAAUGGGUUUCUAAUACCUAAUAGUCCUGCACACAUCUCCAUAAACACAUCAGCUAGGCCUUCCUAAUAAAGCAGUGACGGUCAAAGUCACGCCACUCUAGUAAAAUUAGGCUCUAAAUGAGGUGGUCCAUGUCUGAGACCUUCAUCCAGACUUCCUCAAGAUGUUUCAACAAGACAAACAAGGAAUGCACCAUAGAUUGGCUGUUUUAAAUCUUGGCCUGGGACUGAGGGAUGUUGUUUUUGUCUAUUUCUGUUGUACAGUUGGGACUGUAAUUGCCCUGUGACAGACCCCAGGCCUUCAGUGUUGGGAAUGUUCAAUUGGCUGCUUCUUAAAGAGUGAGGUCGGACCACACACUUGGAGAAGAUUGAAUAUUUGUGGCAUCUUUAUGUCUCAUAGGGUGAGUUAAGUGUCCUGGCUUUCUAGUCAUAUCUUUUGAGAGUUUUGAAGCAGAAUAGACCCCCUUGUAUUAUGACUGAAAGAAUCCAUAUUGUUCAGCUUAAUGUCUUUUCUGUGGAAACACAUUUUCUUCCCAAGCGUUCUGUGUGAGUGAGCAGAGACAACCAGAUGUGCAUGUUUUACAGUAACAUUAUUCUAAAGCUCUUACCAGUUUU